AUUGAACGCUGGCGGCGUGCUUAACACAUGCAAGUCGAUCGGUAACAGGUGUAGCAAUACAUGCUGACGAGAGGCGGACGGGUGAGGAACGCUUGGGAAUCUGCCUAUCAGCGGGGGACAACCCGGGGAAACUCGGGCUAAUACCGCAUACGCUCUACGGAGGAAAGCCGGGGACCGCAAGGCCUGGCACUGAUAGAUGAGCCUAAGUCGGAUUAGCUAGUUGGUGGGGUAACGGCCCAACAGGGCGACGAUCCGUAGCUGGUCUGAGAGGAAGAUCAGCCACACCGGAAGUGAGAGACGGUCCGGACUCCUACGGGAGGCAGCAGUGGGGAAUAUUGGAAAAUGGGGGAAACCCGGAUCCAGCGACGCCGCGUGGGUGAAGAAGGCCCGCGGGUUGUAAAGCCCUUUCGGUAGGGAAGAAAUCUCUUGCUCUAACAAAGCAGGAGUUUGACUUAACCUACAUAAGAAGCACCGGCUAACUCUGUGCCAGCCGCCGCGGUAAAAC
rnacentral:rRNA from 1 species